UGAGUAACACGAUGAGCAAUGUGCCCUUGACUCUGGAAUAAGCGCAUGGAAACGGCGUCUAAUACCGGAUACGACCUUCGGAGGCAUCUCCUGGGGGUGGAAAGAACUUCGGUCAAGGAUCAGCUCACGGCCUAUCAGUUAGUUGGUGAGGUAAUGGCUCACCAAGACGACGACGGGUAGCCGGCCUGAGAGGGUGACCGGCCACACUGGGACUGAGACACGGCCCAGACUCCUACGGGAGGCAGCAGUGGGGAAUAUUGCACAAUGGGCGCAAGCCUGAUGCAGCAACGCCGCGUGAGGGACGACGGCCUUCGGGUUGUAAACCUCUUUUAGCAGGGAAGAAGCGAAAGUGACGGUACCUGCAGAAAAAGCACCGGCUAACUACGUGCCAGCAGCCGCGGUAAUACGUAGGGUGCAAGCGUUGUCCGGAAUUAUUGGGCGUAAAGAGCUCGUAGGCGGUUUGUCACGUCUGCUGUGAAAUCCCGAGGCUCAACCUCGGGCUUGCAGUGGGUACGGGCAGACUAGAGUGCGGUAGGGGAGAUUGGAAUUCCUGGUGUAGCGGUGGAAUGCGCAGAUAUCAGGAGGAACACCGAUGGCGAAGGCAGAUCUCUGGGCCGUAACUGACGCUGAGGAGCGAAAGCAUGGGGGAGCAAACAGGCUUAGAUACCCUGGUAGUCCAUGCCGUAAACGUUGGGAACUAGAUGUGGGGGACCAUUCCAC
rnacentral:rRNA from 1 species